rnacentral:snoRNA from 1 species
AGGAUCGACGAUGAUGACCUGAUUGGUUACAUACUGAAUGGAUUGGAUUCAGAGUACAAUCCGUUUGUUUCUUCGGUUUCAGUUAAGGACUCCUUAUCAUUGAGC